rnacentral:rRNA from 1 species
UGAGAUUUUAACACGAAGUGAGUGGCGAACGGGUGAGUAACACGUGGGUAACCUGCCCAGAAGUAGGGGAUAACACCUGGAAACAGAUGCUAAUACCGUAUAACAGAGAAAACCGCAUGGUUUUCUUUUAAAAGAUGGCUCUGCUAUCACUUCUGGAUGGACCCGCGGCGUAUUAGCUAGUUGGUGAGGUAAAGGCUCACCAAGGCAGUGAUACGUAGCCGAC